ensembl:lncRNA
AGGAUAUUAGCUAGCAACUUUAUAGCAAGACUCUAUAAAACACAAAAAAAAAACUCUCUUUUACUGCUGUCAGUGUUUUAGAAAAUAAUUAGCUACUUGUAUCCACUAAUUAACCUAGCACUAGCUAAUCUACCAAGCUAGCUGGCUAAUUCAGAUGAGAGCAAGGUAAGUUAGCUAGGUUAGCAAGCUAAUACUUUAUUUCUAACAAAAUAAAUAUCUAAAACCUUAUAACCAUCAUUAUUCUGGAGUAUUUUUCAUAAAGAAUAAUUGUAUACACUAGGCUAAUAUAAAAUGGCUACUAUAGCUACCAGGUGAGGACAGUUGAAGGUAGCUUAAAAAUUAAUGCUAGCUAGAUAAAAUAAUUUUAUCCUUUAGACAACACACCAGGUAAUUAGCUAAUUAAGUAAAAUAAAUUAGUUAAUCUAGCUAGUUAGCUAGCUACUGCUGCUUGUUGAAGGGUUAGCAGCACUGCUAACAUCACUAGUUAGCUAACUUAGCUAGUUAACUAAUUUAGCCGGCUAGCUUGGUUAACUAGCUAACAACCUAGCUAGCUCUCUAGUAAGUUAGAGCUUAGCUAACUCUAGCUAAUUAGCUUAGGCAUUUUAGCAGUGUUGAGAGAAUAGUUAGGUUUUUUAGCAUGUAAGAGAGCAACUAUUUAGACUGUUGUGUAGUAAAACGCUUUUAAGACAUUCCCAGGAGUUUUUUUUAAUGACAAUUUUAUGUAAAAAAAAUAUAUAAGCUAGCUAUAUUACCUUAUUUCCACAGGUUAAAUAAAUUGACUGAUUUGCAAUCAACUCCUCUACGAUAUUAGGUUGUGCACAGACAGAGGUGCUAUAAAACAAAUGCCUUUAAAUGAUGUGAAACUGUGACUUUAGAAGAUGGCAGAGUGUGAGGACUUCACUUUACCACUAGACAGCCUGUUCUUUGUCAAGCCAGUGGUUCAUAAAGUGAACCCAUUAUGUCAGGAGCAGAAUGUAUGGCAGCUUGAUGCUCCACCAUCCGUUUCAGAAAUACCAGCAACCCAAGCCAUACAGAAAGAGGCAGAAUGCAUGUCUUCAGUUGGUUGCUCUCAGAAGAUAAGAAAGUUCUUGCCCCCUUUCCAAAGACCCUUUGUCAGUGCUGGAGUCCAAGAUCAAAUACAGGCAGAUGAAACAGGAAGCCAUGAGAUGUUGAGGAUGCAGACGUCUCAAACACCUUCAGCUAGAAAAUGCAGCAAUCGUGCCUUCCCUGGUACACAGGAAUUUGAUAUCACUGUGAAAACCAGACCAUGUCAUCCCACUGCCACUCCACUAUUUAAGACUCGGCUGUUCAAGCCCCCCAUGAGAAUGGACUUAAAAAGCUUCAGUAUCUCAAGUCAAACAAACUCCUCAGUGGAUGACCACAGCCUCAGUGGGGUCGCUAUGGUAACUGAGCAUCCUCCAGCAGCGCACGCUAUUGCUACCUGUAGCCCCUUCCUGGAUCCAGGCCAGAUUGAGGAAUGCAAUUCUCCACAACAAAAGCACGACUCUGGUGUGAAAAAAGCUCAUGUCCUCCCUUUGACACCCAAGCCCAUUCAUAUACAAGGUAGUACGUGAUGAUCCUGCACAUUUAACACUCUGGAUAGCUGUGCUGCACAAUAUGGUUAUUCAAAUAUUGACGCGUGCCUCACUGAUAUUGCAGAAGUCUGCAGUAUGCAGAUAAGCCCUGCAACCAGUCACAAUCAAUUAGUGUGUCUUAACUGUGUGCUGUGAGCAUCCUGGACUCCAGAUGCGUUUCAUUCAGUGUGUUGAUGAGUUAAGUUUUUAUGUAAUCAAGCAAAAAUACAUUAUCUUGUCUUACAUUUAUAUAUACAUAUUUAGAUAGUUUAAUGCAGGUUUAUUCAUUUAAGCCUGUGGAAAUGGUUUUCAAAUUUAUAUUUGGUCAUUGUAGCUUCAGCAUUGACUGUGAUGCAUAUAGUAAUGAUACUGUGCCCACCAAGGUCUGUAUGCAUUUUGCAGAUCUUGCAGAAGCGUUUUACCUUGUUUUCACACAGCCCAUGAAACAAAACGUACAAAUAUAUUUU